GCUCCCGUAGUUUAAUGGAUAAAAUAUUGGUUUGCGGUACCAGUGCUCUAGGUUCGAUUCCUAGCGGGAGCA
rnacentral:tRNA from 2 species